rnacentral:rRNA from 1 species
UACGGGGGGAGCAAGCGUUGUUCGGAUUUAUUGGGCGUAAAGAGCUCGUAGGCGGUUUGUCGCGUCGGCCGUGAAAUCUCCACGCUUAACGUGGAGUGUGCGGUCGAUACGGGCAGACUUGAGUUCGGUAGGGGAGACUGGAAUUCCUGGUGUAGCGGUGAAAUGCGCAGAUAUCAGGAGGAACACCGGUGGCGAAGGCGGGUCUCUGGGCCGAUACUGACGCUGAGGAGCGAAAGCGUGGGGAGCGAACAGG